rnacentral:piRNA from 1 species
UACCCCUAGGCGAGCUGCUACAAGGUUCC